rnacentral:rRNA from 1 species
GCAGCCGCCGCGGGAAUACGAAGGGUGCAAGCGUUACUCGGAAUUACUGGGCGUAAAGCGUGCGUAGGUGGUGGUUUAAGUCCGUUGUGAAAGCCCUGGGCUCAACCUGGGAAUUGCAGUGGAUACUGGGUCACUAGAGUGUGGUAGAGGAUAGUGGAAUUUCCGGUGUAGCAGUGAAAUGCGUAGAGAUCGGAAGGAACAUCCGUGGCGAAGGCGACUAUCUGGGCCAACACUGACACUGAGGCACGAAAGCGUGGGGAGCAAACAGGAUUAGAUACCCCUGUAGUCCCUGUCUCUUAUAC